rnacentral:rRNA from 1 species
GGAUGGGUCUGCGGCCGAUUAGGUAGUUGGUUAGGUAAUGGCUUACCAAGCCGUUGAUCGGUACGGGUUGUGAGAGCAAGAGCCCGGAGAUGGAACCUGAGACAAGGUUCCAGGCCCUACGGGGUGCAGCAGGCGCGAAACCUCCGCAAUGUGAGAAAUCGCGACGGGGGGAUCCCAAGUGCCAUUCUUAACGGGAUGGCUUUUCAUUAGUGUAAAGAGCUUUUGGAAUAAGAGCUGGGCAAGACCGGUGCCAGCCGCCGCGGUAACACCGGCAGCUCUAGUGGUAGCAAUUUUUAUUGGGCCUAAAGCGUCCGUAGCCGGUUUAAUAAGUCUCUGGUGAAAUCCUGCAGCUUAACUGUGGGAAUUGCUGGAGAUACUAUUAGACUUGAGACCGGGAGAGGUUAGAGGUACUCCCAGGGUAGAGGUGAAAUUCUGUAAUCCUGGGAGGACCGCCUGUUGCGAAGGCGUCUAGCUGGAACGGUUCUGACGGUGAGGGACGAAAGUUAGGGGCGCGAACCGGAUUAGAUACCCGGGUAGUCCUAACUGUAAACGAUGCGGACUUGGUGUUGGGGUGGCUUUGAGCUGCUUCAGUGCCGAAGGGAAGCUGUUAAGUCCGCCGCCUGGGAAGUACGGUCGCAAGACUGAAACUUAA